UGGGGAAUUUUGGACAAUGGGCGAAAGCCUGAUCCAGCCAUGCCGCGUGAGUGAAGAAGGCCUUCGGGUUGUAAAGCUCUUUUAGUCGGAAAGAAAGAGUUGCAAUGAAUAAUUGUGAUUUAUGACGGUACCGACAGAGAAAGCACCGGCUAACUACGUGCCAGCAGCCGCGGUAAUACGUAGGGUGCGAGCGUUAUCCGGAAUUAUUGGGUUUAAAGGGUGCGUAGGCGGACUAAUAAGUCAGUGGUGAAAGCCUGCAGCUUAACUGCAGAAUUGCCAUUGAUACUGUUAGUCUUGAGUACAGUUGAGGUAGGCGGAAUGUGUCAUGUAGCGGUGAAAUGCUUAGAUAUGACACAGAACACCGAUUGCGAAGGCAGCUUACUAAGCUGUAACUGACGCUGAGGCACGAAAGCGUGGGGAGCAAACA
rnacentral:rRNA from 1 species